UACGUAGGCAGCGAGCGUUGUUCGGAGUUACUGGGCGUAAAGCGUGCGUAGGCGGUGUCUUCAGUUUGUUGUGAAAUCUCCCGGCUUAACCGGGAGGGUGCGGCGAAUACUGAGAUGCUGGAGUGCCGGAGAGGUAAGCGGAAUUCCUGGUGUAGCGGUGAAAUGCGUAGAUAUCAGGAGGAACACCUGCGGUGUAGACGGCUUACUGGACGGUAACUGACGCUGAGGCACGAAAGCGUGGGUAGCAAACAGG
rnacentral:rRNA from 1 species